rnacentral:rRNA from 1 species
UACGAAGGUCCCAAGCGUUAUCCGGAUUUAUUGGGUUUAAAGGGUGCGUAGGCGGCUUAUUAAGUCAGUGGUGAAAGCCCGAAGCUUAACUUCGGAAUUGCCAUUGAUACUGAUGAGCUUGAGUAGAUUUGAAGUGGGCGGAAUGUGUUGUGUAGCGGUGAAAUGCUUAGAUAUGACACAGAACACCAAUUGCGUAGGCAGCUCACUAAACUCUCACUGACGCUGAGGCACGAAAGCGUGGGGAUCAAACAGG